GAGUGUGUGUGUGUGGUGUACAAUCGCGCUCUUAUGGUCUAUUCUCUUUAGCUGCUGAACUGAUGUACACUGAUAUAAACGCCCAAUGCAACCAAAAAGAACAAACCACAUGUUACUGCGCAUGCUCUUCUAUCAGUGCAUCGUUGACACGACAGAUUUAUUAACCCCGAAAAGUGUUAAUCUUUAACGCGUUAUAUCUUUCGUCCUGUUGCAGAGCGACGUUUCUAACUUUCAUUUCUAUAUUCUACGUAUCGAAAUACAUAAUAUGACAAAGUUUCACUCGAUUUGGUGAGGAGGCCCGUUUUCUGCACAUUUACCGUAUUUUUAAAUAUUUUCAGAUAUUUCAAAUAACCUAACAUCACAUGUCACGUAUUAUGUGUCUGUAUCUCAAUCACUCAAUGCGCAGAGAGACAACAACCGAACAAUACCAUAAACAUAAAGGAGAAAUCUCACCACCGACAAAAUAAUAUUAAAGAUUGCCAGUGAUGGGUAAAUUUUUGUACCAGUAUGGGGGCCUCAAGGGGCCCGGGGAUAAUUAAAGAACGAUAAUAGACACGACUACGUGAACGACGUGACGACGGCGACCAAGUGGCCGACGACGACCA